rnacentral:rRNA from 1 species
UACAGAGGUCUCAAGCGUUGUUCGGAUUCAUUGGGCGUAGAGGGCGCGUAGGCGGAUCUUUAAGUCGGGGGUGAAAGCCCAGGGCUCAACCCUGGAAUUGCCUUCGAUACUGGAGAUCUUGAGACCGGAAGAGGUAAGUGGAACUGCGAGUGUAGAGGUGAAAUUCGUAGAUAUUCGCAAGAACACCAGUGGCGAAGGCGGCUUACUGGUCCGGUUCUGACGCUGAGGCGCGAAAGCGUGGGGAGCAAACAGG